GUUGCUGCGCUUGGUAGGCUUGCUGCACCCGGACGGCUGUGACGGUGAGGACGUCUGGGGAACCAAGAGGCGUUGUGCAUGUGCUCCUCAAAGUCCUUCGUGGCGGAACCGGGAUUAUCAAGUCAAGGUACAUGGUCCUACCUCAGGAAGACGUGACGAAAGUUCUGAGAACUGGAACCUGGACGUGAUGCGGCACCAUGUUGACAUCUGUCAUGCAACUGGAAGCUUGAUUAAGAGACGUUUGGGGCAGAAAGUUUCCGGCAUCUUCAAGAUGCUGUGCGUGAUGAAAUCAUCCAGAGGAUGGACACUGCAUUCGUCUUUGGAGUGGAGGGCCAGGCAGUAGAGGGGCUGGCCUCAGGCUCUGAAGGCCGUUUGCAACCAAGCCAAAUGCACCUACAGAUCCUGGUGGUCAUCCUGACGUAUCCUAUGCUCAGGACCUUCUCCCUCUGGUUCCACUCCUCCCUCACCAGGAACCAUGUCUCUGGCACUUACUCCAUUGUUUUUGUCAACUGUCCCAAUGAGCAAAUUGCCAAAGAUGUUGCCAGGGCCAUAUUGGAUAAGAAGUUGGCCGCUUCUGUGAACAUCUUGCCUAAGACGUCAUCACUGUACUUUUGGAAGGGAGAAAUAGAAGAAUCCACUGAGAUCUUGUUGCUAAUAAAGACAAAGACUUCCAAGGUCUCCAGGCUGUCCACCUAUGUGAGUCCCUCUUCCUACCCCUUCUCUCCCCAGAUCUCCUCUUCCUCCUGUUUCCCUUCAAGAGAAAGAAAGAAAGAAAGAAAGAGAAAGAAAAACAAACAGGCCUCCCAGAGAUAUCAACCAAAUGUGAUAUAACAACUUACAAGAAGACUGGACACAAACCCUCAUAUCAAGGUUGGACAAGGCAACCCAGGAGGAGGAAGAAGGGUCUGAAGUGCAGGCAAAAGAGUCAGAGACACCCAGUUUCCUGCUGUUAGGAGUCCCACAAGAACACCAAGCUAUACAAACACAACGUAUAUGCAGAGGACCUAGCACAGACCCAUACAGGGUCUGUGUUUGUUGCUUCAGUCUCUGUAAGCCCCUAUCAAGCCUGGUUAGUUGGUUCUGUGGGAUUUCUUGUGGUGUCCUUGAUCCCUCUGGCUCCUACAAUCAUUCCUCCCCCUCCUCUGUGGGGUUCCCUGAGCUCUGCCUCUUGUUUGGCUGUGGGUGUGCAUCUACUCCCAUCAGUGGCUGCAUGAAGACUCUGAUGACUGGCUAGGCACCGGCCUGUGAGUAUAGGAGAAUAUCAUUAGGAGUCAUUUCAUCGACCUUUUAUUGGGGUGGGGGGGGAGGCAGUCAUGCUUGGUUCUAUCUGGGUCUCUGGAAUGUCCUGCCUCUGGUUCCUGGCCAUCCAGACAGUGUCUGGUGUGGGCUCCCUCUUGUGGCAUGGUCCUCAAGUUGGACCUGUCAUGGGUCGCCACUCCCACAGGCUCUGAGCAGCCUUUGCUCCCACACAUCUUGUAGGCAGGGUGGAUUGUAGGUCAAGUGUGGGGUUCUCAAGGGGCACCCCAGGUGGACUGCUGUGCUGCCUGGGCUACAUGCCCUUGCUCUGCAUGGUAAGAAUCAUCUCCUCACUGUUGCGGGAGGUCCUUCCGCUCCUCCAACCAAUAGCUGCUGAGAUACCAGCCCAUUGGGGCAUGGUCUCUCUCCCUUUAAAAAAGCGGCUACUUCCCUCCACUCUCUCUUCAUUUCCUGCUCCGCCGGCGACUAGACUCCCUGGUUGCUCAGAGGGCUGUUGUCUGGGAUGGUGAUCUGUAAGUUUUUUCCUCUUUAAAUAAAUACCACCCUAUUAAUCAUAAUUCCAAACUGGUGUGGCAUUGUUUGUGACUUACGCCUUCACCUGGCACCCACCACGCCCUCCUGAAGGUUGCUGUGAACACCUUCAGAAAAUUGCUUCGCUCAACUGCCAACUGAGAUGAAACUAGCACACAGGUUAUACCAUGAAAGACCUAAUUAAUGACGCCCCCAUUCAGCAGGAAGCAGUUUGGAGAGAAAAAACUGCGCCCAUGUUCUCAAAUAUGGUUUAUAAAUGUUCUUUUACAUUUAAAGGGGGAUAUGACAUAGAUAUAAAUAAUUUGCAUUGGUAUGGAUUUUAAGGUCAAUUUUGUUAUAUGUAUAUGCAUAUUUCUAAUCUUGAUUAAGGUAUUGUGAUUGUGUGUUCACUUUUAAAAUGUAAUGUAUAAUUAGGAAAUAUAGGUUGCUAAUGGAUAAUCAUCAAUAAUAGUCAAGCUUGUAGUCAUGUUAGUUAAGAUUUUCUAGAUAUGCAUAGAUAUAUUUUAGAUAGGCAAUCUUCAUAUCUUUCAAAGACUACAGAAUAGGACAUUUAAUGUUUUAAUAACUUAGGGUUUUUCAUGACAAUGAGACACUCUGCUCCUGGCAGCACCAAUCUACUUCAAGAAGAAUAUGGGCAUUGAAGAGGAUCCUUAUGGAGUCUGAUAGCCAUUUGGGCAAGAAAACUGCUCAUGCCUGGACUAUUGCAUAAACUGGACACAGAGAACCCUCAGCGAGAGGACUACUGAACUUGCCUAAAGGUUGGCUCAUCCUUUUGAAAUCCCAGAGGUCUUCAGUAUUGCCAUGGACCACGGAGAUGCUCGCUAUCUGAAGUGGCUCGAGGAGGGCAUGAAGGAGAACUAAGCUGGCUGCUGAGGCCUUUCCUGACUGCUCUGGGAGAAGCCGGCCUCUGCCUCCCCAGGGGUUCCUAACAGCACAGAGGCGACCUGUGCAUGCCCAAUGAAGGGCUGAGAAUUUCAAGGUGUGAAGUGAAGGCCAGCCAGGUCCGCAGGAGCCGAGUGCAGCCUGUCAUAGAGUGCUGUGCAUUUUCAGGCAGCCAGAGGGUGUGAGGGUGAGGACUGGGGGCAGAGGGGCGGUGGUGGUGAGCGCACUGGGCCUACUACCAUAAGUGCCCCGAUGUAAUCAUUCCUCUGCUUCUUGUGGGGACAGAGAGCCUUUCUCACCUGUGUGUGUGUGGGAUAAAUGUCUUCCAAAAAACAAACAAACAAACAAAUAAAAAAAAACUGGUAUGGGUUCUUUUCAAAAUGAUGAGUCAUAGGGAUAGAAUUUCAGGGGUCAGCAGAAUUGCUUCUUUGUUAGAGAAGCUUUUGUUGCUCCUGAACUUGCAGAGGUAAGGCUGGGAAGGGGCUUCUUGAGCCUAUGCAGUCUAGGGGGAAUAUAUGGGUUUCAACGCAGCCUCGUGAGCUGAGGAUAAGUCCUGACUCUUACUAGACCUAUUGUAACAGACAUGUCUCAGCCCUGGGAACCUGCUGCACCAGUGUUCUUCAGCGUUGCUGUACAGUUUCUGGGGCUGAAGAGGAACCACCGAACUUCUUGAGGAAUGCAGCCCCAUCCAUGCCCCGAGUGAAGCUGCUGGGAGUUUGUAAAUCGUUGCUGUGAUCUCCCCAUUUUAUGCAUUAUCAAGAAAAAUUGCACUUCGUGGAAUUUCAUACAGGGAGGCACACGGAAUUAUAGAGUCUAACAGUAGUUUCUCAUCUCACGAGAGGGCUCUCCGGCACCUGUUGCAGGGAUCUAUAGUGAAGAGAACAGUGAACAUAGGAUGCGAGCCCAAGGCUCUGAAAAGGGAGAACGGAACUCUCCAUGAAUCUCAUAAGGGAACUCCACGAUGGGGGACCACAGGGAGUUGGAGUCAGGAUCCAGACAACUAUGGUGUCCUGGCCUCUUCUAUGAGGGGGUGUUCCAUAUGCCAAGUGGAACAUGUCCUAGUUCUGAUAGCUGCUGUGUCUCCCACCUUGCGCUCCAGAUACCAGAUGGUGAAGGGUCUCCAAGGGCCAUCAAACCGCCAGAGAAUUCCACUGGUACUUUUGAUGGUUGAGGAACGGUGAUGUCCUUGGUCUUAAACCCCAGUUUCUGAUGUAUAUACAAGUCUUGAAGACAUUAUUUAAGAUGUUCUAAGGACCCCAGAUAGGCCAUCAUUGCUGCUUCUAGGUCAAGUCCAGUUUCUAGAUCUUCCUUUCAGGACCUGUUUCCAUCAGUGUCUCAGUCUUCCCCUCUGUGGCACACGUCCCUGUGCUAAUGCUGUCCCUUCUACCCGGAGCUACUCCUUGAAAGGCCUCUCUUCUGGGCUGGGUCAUGAGGUGCUGGAGGUCAGAGGCGU